rnacentral:rRNA from 1 species
AGUUGCCAGCAUUCAGUUGGGCACUCUAAGGAAACUGCCGGUGUUAAACCGGAGGAAGGUGGGGAUGACGUCAAGUCCUCAUGGCCUUAUGCCCAGGGCUACACACGUGCUACAAUGGCCGGUACAAAGGGCAGCAAUACCGCGAGGUGGAGCGAAUCCCAAAAAGCCGGCCCAGUUCAGAUUGGAGUCUGCAACUCGACUCCAUGAAGUCGGAAUCGCUAGUAAUCGCAGAUCAGCAGGCUGCGGUGAAUACGGUUCCCGGGCCUU